rnacentral:rRNA from 1 species
GACGGAGGGUGCUAGCGUUGUUCGGAAUCACUGGGCGUAAAGGGCGCGUAGGCGGCCUGGCAAGUCGGCUUUGUGAAAGCCCGGGGCUCAACCCCGGAGGUGCGGCCGAGACUGCGAGGCUGGAGGCCGGAAGAGGAGGGUGGAAUACCCAGUGUAGAGGUGAAAUUCGUAGAUAUUGGGUGGAACACCGGUGGCGAAAGCGGCUCUCUGGUCCGGACCUGACGCUGAGGCGCGAAAGCGUGGGGAGCAAACAGG